rnacentral:rRNA from 1 species
CCCUUAGAUGUUCUGGGCCGCACGCGCGCUACACUGAAUGGAUCAACGUGUUUUCCCUUCCCGAGAGGGACGGGUAACCCGCUGAACCCCCUUCGUGGUAGGGAUCGGAGCUUGCAAUUAUUCUCCGUGAACCAGGAAUUCCCAGUAAGCGCAAGUCAUAAGCUUGCGUUGAUUACGUCCCUGCCCUUUGUACACACCGCCCGUCGCUACUACCGAUUGGACGUUUUAGUGAGGAUUUUGGACUGAGCCAAUGGUGGUUCACACCACUGUUGUGCAUGGAAAGAUCUCCAAACUUGAGCGUUUAGAGGAAGUAAAAGUCGUAACA